GACGAACGCUGGCGGCGUGCUUAACACAUGCAAGUCGAACGGAAAGGCCCUGCUUUUGUGGGGUGCUCGAGUGGCGUACGGGUGAGUAACACGUGAGUAACCUGCCCUUGACUUUGGGAUAACUUCAGGAAACUGGGGCUAAUACCGGAUAGGAGCUCCUGCUGCAUGGUGGGGGUUGGAAAGUUUCGGCGGUUGGGGAUGGACUCGCGGCUUAUCAGCUUGUUGGUGGGGUAGUGGCUUACCAAGGCUUUGACGGGUAGCCGGCCUGAGAGGGUGACCGGCCACAUUGGGACUGAGAUACGGCCCAGACUCCUACGGGAGGCAGCAGUGGGGAAUAUUGCACAAUGGGCGGAAGCCUGAUGCAGCAACGCCGCGUGCGGGAUGACGGCCUUCGGGUUGUAAACCGCUUUCGCCUGUGACGAAGCGUGAGUGACGGUAAUGGGUAAAGAAGCACCGGCUAACUACGUGCCAGCAGCCGCGGUGAUACGUAGGGUGCGGGCGUUGUCCGGAUUUAUUGGGCGUAAAGGGCUCGUAGGUGGUUGAUCGCGUCGGAAGUGUAAUCUUGGGGCUUAACCCUGAGCGUGCUUUCGAUACGGGUUGACUUGAGGAAGGUAGGGGAGAAUGGAAUUCCUGGUGGAGCGGUGGAAUGCGCAGAUAUCAGGAGGAACACCAGUGGCGAAGGCGGUUCUCUGGGCCUUUCCUGACGCUGAGGAGCGAAAGCGUGGGGAGCGAACAGGCUUAGAUACCCUGGUAGUCCACGCUGUAAACGGUGGGUACUAGGUGUGGGGUCCAUUCCACGGGUUCCGUGCCGUAGCUAACGCUUUAAGUACCCCGCCUGGGGAGUACGGCCGCAAGGCUAAAACUCAAAGGAAUUGACGGGGCCCCGCACAAGCGGCGGAGCAUGCGGAUUAAUUCGAUGCAACGCGUAGAACCUUACCUGGGUUUGACAUGGAUCGGGAGUGCUCAGAGAUGGGUGUGCCUCUUUUGGGGUCGGUUCACAGGUGGUGCAUGGCUGUCGUCAGCUCGUGUCGUGAGAUGUUGGGUUAAGUCCCGCAACGAGCGCAACCCUUGUUCACUGUUGCCAGCACGUUAUGGUGGGGACUCAGUGGAGACCGCCGGGGUCAACUCGGAGGAAGGUGGGGAUGACGUCAAGUCAUCAUGCCCCUUAUGUCCAGGGCUUCACGCAUGCUACAAUGGCUGGUACAGAGAGUGGCGAGCCUGUGAGGGUGAGCGAAUCUCGGAAAGCCGGUCUCAGUUCGGAUUGGGGUCUGCAACUCGACCUCAUGAAGUCGGAGUCGCUAGUAAUCGCAGAUCAGCAACGCUGCGGUGAAUACGUUCCCGGGGCU
rnacentral:rRNA from 1 species